rnacentral:rRNA from 1 species
AGCAGCCGCGGUAAUUCCAGCUCCAAUAGCGUAUAUUAAAGUUGUUGCAGUUAAAAAGCUCGUAGUUGAAUUUCGGGAUCAAUAUGUAGGUCGUGCCUCGGUACGUACUUGCAUCAUUGAUUUCUCCCUUCUGAUGAACCAUGAUGCCAUUAGUUUGGUGUUAUGGGGAAUCAGGACUGUUACUUUAGAAAAAAUUAGAGUGUUUAAAGCAGGCUCACGCUUGAAUACAUUAGCAUGGAAUAACGAAAUAGGACGUUCGAUCCUAUUUUGUUGGUUUCUAGGAUUGACGUAAUGAUUAAUAGGGAUAGUUGGGGGCAUUAGUAUUCAAUUGUCAGAGGUGAAAUUCUUGGAUUUAUUGAAGACUAACUACUGCGAAAGCUAUUUGCCAAGGAUUGU